CCCUUAGACGCUCUAGGCGGCACGCGCGCUACAAUGGGUGGUAGAACGUGUAGCUGCUCCCGAAAGGGAGGGUGAACCACGAAUACUUACCCGUGAAUGGGAUAGUUUGUUGCAAUUUUCGGACUUGAACUAGGAAUCCCUUGUAAGAAUGCUCAAGAAUAGCGUGCUGAAUACGUCCCUGCCGUUUGUACACACCGCCCGUCGUUUCUUCCGACUGAUACUCAUUGUGAGUUGCAAGGAUUCUUAUUGAAAAAUUGCUGCGAAUGCUUUGUAUUGGAGGAAGAAAAAGUCGUAACA
rnacentral:rRNA from 1 species